UGAGGAAUAUUGGUCAAUGGGCGCGAGCCUGAACCAGCCAAGUCGCGUGGAGGAAGACGGCGUUAUGCGUUGUAAACUCCUUUUGUUGGGGAAUAAAAGAGGGGACGUGUCCCCUAUUGUAUGUACCCAAAGAAUAAGCAUCGGCUAACUCCGUGCCAGCAGCCGCGGUAAUACGGAGGAUGCGAGCGUUAUCCGGAUUUAUUGGGUUUAAAGGGUGCGUAGGCGGUUCUAUAAGUCAGUGGUGAAAGUUUGCGGCUCAACCGUAAAAUUGCCAUUGAAACUGUAGGACUUGAGUAUUGUAGAGGUAGGUGGAAUUCGUAGUGUAGCGGUGAAAUGCAUAGAUAUUACGAAGAACUCCAAUUGCGAAGGCAGCCUGCUGGACAAUAACUGACGCUGAGGCACGAAAGCGUGGGGAUCAAACA
rnacentral:rRNA from 1 species